AUAAAGUCUAGCUACGAAUGUAUAUAUUCUAAAAUUGGAACGAUACAGAGAAGAUUAGCAUGGCCCCUGCCCAAGGAUGACACGAACAUUCGUGAAACGUUCCAUAUUUUU